rnacentral:lncRNA from 1 species
GAAUCAUGCUCAACUCAAAUAAUCCUGUGACUCCUCACUAGGACUACCCUGGCCAAGAUUUUGCUAAAUUAAAACACGACUGUACACAGCUCCUGAACUGGAGUGGUCAAUCCCAACUUGACACACGCACCGACAAGUCAAGUACUUGACUACACCCAGCAGCCUUCCGUCACUGAAUUAGAAAUUCAGAUAGUCCAGUGCCUAAGUGUAGUGAGUUGCUUGCAAGUCACCGUGG